GCCUGGGUGGCUCACUUGGUCGAGCGUCCGACUUCGGCUCAGGUCAUGAUCUCACAGUUUGUGGGUUCGAACCCCGCGUCAGGCU
rnacentral:tRNA from 1 species